rnacentral:lncRNA from 1 species
GCAUUGCAAUAAAAAUCAAUUUUCAUUGUUUAUAUGAAGAAACCUGUAGAAAAGGACAAAAUAGAAGAUCAAUUUUCAAUCAUCCUUGCUGAAAUUUUUUAACAGAGGUAAAAGAAAGUCACCAAGAUAGAAAAAAGGAAUUGCCAUUGUUAUAUGAAUCACUAUGACUUAUAGUAAAGAUUAAACUCCAUGAAAUUGGAGGAAGAAAACUUUGAAGAAUGAAACAAACUUCAUAAGAAGAUUAAUUAAUGAAUUUGAAUUUGACUACCCUAUAGCGGAAAAAAAA